UGGUGGAGUGAUUUGUCUGCUUAAUUGCGAUAACGAACGAGACCUUAACCUGCUAAAUAGCCAGGCUAGCUUUGGCUGGUCGUCGGCUUCUUAGAGGGACUAUCGGCUCAAGCCGAUGGAAGUUUGAGGCAAUAACA
rnacentral:rRNA from 1 species